rnacentral:rRNA from 1 species
GUAGGGAAUAUUGGGCAAUGGUCGGAAGACUGACCCAGCCAUGCCGCGUGCCGGAAGAAGGCCCUCAGGGUUGUAAACGGCUUUUGACGGUGAAGAAUCGACAGGAUGCGUCCUGUUUUGACGGUAGCCGUUGAAUAAGCACCGGCUAACUCCGUGCCAGCAGCCGCGGUAAUACGGAGGGUGCGAGCGUUGUCCGGAUUUAUUGGGUUUAAAGGGUGCGUAGGCUGGAAGGUCAGUCAGCGGUGAAAAGCUGUCGCUUAACGAUAGUCUUGCCGCAGAUACUUCCUUUCUUGGAUGAGGAGGAGGCCACUGGAACGGAUGGUGUAGCGGUGAAAUGCAUAGAUAUCAUCCAGAACACCGAUUGCGAACGCAGGUGGCUGUACCUUAAUCGACGCUGAUGCACGAAAGCAUGGGGAGCAAACAGGAUUAGAAACCCUAGUAGUCC